UGGCUCAGAUUGAACGCUGGCGGUAUGCUUAACACAUGCAAGUCGAACGGUAACAGGCCUUCGGGCGCUGACGAGUGGCGACGGGUGAGUAACGCGUAGGAAUCUGCCUCAUAGUGGGGGACAACGUGGGGAAAACUCACGCUAAUACCGCAUACGCCCUACGGGGGAAAGCGGGGGAUCUUCGGACCUCGCGCUAUGAGAUGAGCCUGCGUUAGAUUAGCUAGUUGGUAGGGUAAAGGGCCUACCAAGGCGACGAUCUAUAGCUGGUCUGAGAGGACGAUCAGCCACACUGGGACUGAGACACGGCCCAGACUCCUACGGGAGGCAGCAGUGGGGAAUAUUGGACAAUGGGCGCAAGCCUGAUCCAGCAAUACCGCGUGUGUGAAGAAGGCCUUAGGGUUGCAAAGCACUUUCAAUUGGGAGGAAAACCUGCCGGUCAAUACCCGGCAGCUUGACAUUACCUUUAGAAGAAGCACCGGCUAACUCCGUG
rnacentral:rRNA from 1 species